CUACGGGCUGGUGAGGCGGAGCCGAGGCGAGUGGGUGCGGUCUGUAACCAGGAGGGCGUUCUGAGAGUGGACCAGUAAGGCUUAUGGGGGCGGAGCCAAUGAAAGGGCCUAGGAAGCGGAGAUGGGACUCGAAAACUAAGGGUUUCGCACAGUGCAGUCGCGGGGAGCGCUCCUAAAGGAAGGUCACCAGAACAUGGCUUCAGAAUUGAGAGAGCCAGCCUUUUAUGGUAUUACGAGGCCCGGUCCUCCAGAGAAGUGCUCUUCCCAGAGCUUCAGCAAGACGGUAACCACGCCCCCAGGGUGCAGCGGUUGGCAUUUGAUAGGCCCGGGGGACCUUAGCCUAAACUAACUCCUAGCUUACGAUUACAAGGUUGAGGUACAGCUACAAGGCUCUGCGCCCAUCGACCCCAAGCGCUGGAAUUUAAAGCGGUUAGAAUCGUUUCUGCUUGCCGCCUCCCCCGGCGCUUUGACCUACGUGAAAGGAUUCCCCUCUUUAGAUCGGUAACAAGUGUUUUGAACUGGAGGCAACCUGAUUGGCCAUGAUCGAAAAGGGACAGGAAAUGAUAGCCACGAACUGAGCUUUAGCUGUGUGAAGAGUAACUCUUUCUCCCUACCCAAAGAAGACAACACCUACAACAUACCUGAUUGAGCCAUAGCACUGGUGGCAACUUGAGGCUUCAGAUCCGCUUCCAAGAGAGCAGGAGAAACAGUUACCACUGGUCCUGAGAAUAAAGGACCCUUCAAGGUAUCAUUCACGUAUCUCACCUGAAAGAGAUGAUACUUUCCGUAUCAAAAUAUUCCGUUUUCGAGUCAGAAGAUUUUUCUGUCCUAUCAACUUGUCUGCCUGAUCUGUUAGUCCCUGAAUUUCACUGAAUGCCUAAAAACAAAAAAUUAAUAUGUGAAUACAUUUGCUCUUUCCUAUAAACAGCCCAUUAAGAUGGUAUCUUUCCACACAAAUGUAGUGAUCCAAAGGGGCACGUGUACCCGAAUGUUUACAGCAGCAAUGUCCACAAUAGCCAAACUACGGAAUGAACCUAGAUGUCCAUCAACAGAUGAA